GGAAUAUAACUAAAUACAAAUAUUAACUUUCUGACAUGUAUGAUGCAUUUUGUGUUCCUCCCUAUAUGUCUAGCCCAAGUCUAAUCGUGAUCAAAAUCCAUUUUGGCAGUUGGCAAGAAGGACCUCUUUACAGCUAUUAUUCUUCCUUGCCAUUCUGGUAGUGGGAAACUUAUGGUCCAUUCAGUACCCUUGUUGGUUUGGUGGUUUUAUUUUCUUUGAAACAUAAAACUGCUUUGAUUUUUGGUUUAUGGUUUUCAAUAAACAGUUAUUUUUCCACUUUCAUUCUCUCUCUUCAUCUUAUCCUCAUCUCUCAAGUGCAUCUCAAGGUCAUCAUUUUAUCCUUUUCCCUGGUAUCAACAAAGCCUCUAUUUCCUUCUCUAGGUAUCUAUGGCUGCCACUUUCCCACUAUUUACAAACACUAGAAACCACAAAGCCAUCACUCAAACCAAUUCAUCACGAUCAAUUUUCAACAGCAGUGGACCAUGCUCAUUAAUCACCAUAGAUCCACUCAUGCAUGUCUUUAAUGAUCACCCAAAUCCAGAGAAACAAAAAUAGGAAUUAAAAUUUCAAUCAAUCUCUUUGCCCUGCAACGCAAAAAAAAAAAAAAAAAAAGCUUCCAAAAACCCUUAACACGCAGCUCCCAGAGCUGAACGGACCCCUCAAAAUUAGGGAAAUAUGUAAGAAGCGGAAGGUUCAAAGGGGACCAAAUCUCCCAACAAGAAAAAUUAGCGUCAACUUGAAAGUAAGAAAACCGGUAAUAAGAAGAGAAAAUAGAAGAAAGCUG
rnacentral:misc_RNA from 1 species